GAGUGGGAGAGGAAGAAGCAGGCUCCCAGUGGAAGAGCCUGACGUGGGACUCGAUCCCAGAACUCCGGGAUCACGCCCUGAGCCGAAGGCAGAUGCUUAAUGACUGAGCCACCCAGACGCCCCCACCCAGCUGGUUUUUGACUCAAGGCUGCAGGAUCGGAGACCAAUAAAGGAGAGAAGAGGUCUUCCUGCAAGUGUUUCUCUUCGGGUCCCUGAAAUGCCAGUGACCCCACGUCUCUCCUGACACCCAGCUGUGGCCUUGCUUGGCUCAAGGGAGAAUCAUGGAUCCGUGAGCUUCAGGAGAAGAUCCCCAUUGUGAGCGAAAGUGCAGUGUGCCGGCCAGCGUUUCUCCCAGAGCUUCAGCUAGAGUGCAAGCGAGGUGAGCCUGGAGAAAAUGAGGCCUCUGACUCGAAUCACACCACCACCCGCUCAGCGCUCCAGAUGUCGGCCUCUGCCCCACUCGGAAGCGGUGGGCCUUGGAAGAACCCAGAACAGAUAUUCCACUACCAAGUACGACAAAUGCAGAAGUAUAUGCAUUUAUAAAAGUCCAUCAGGAUGUACACUUUGGAUGUGUGCUCCUUACCGCACGUAAACUCUAACCCAAUAGAAAACUUUCGGAAAAGCACAGUUCUAGAUAUGUUCUAACUAACGUAGGAUUUAGGGGUGGAGGCAAGCAAGGAUGCCAUUACCCACUCUAAGAUCCUGAUUUUCUGGGUUUCAUUGGACAAGAGGACAUCAACACAGGGAAGAACGGGUGCCAACUGUUGUUUCAAAAAAAAAAAAAGACAAUAAAAGGUCCGUGAGGCACCCCA